rnacentral:rRNA from 1 species
GACGAACGCUGGCGGCGUGCCUAAUACAUGCAAGUCGAACGCAGUGGGGACGGGUGAGUAACACGUGGGUAACCUCCCAUCAGAGGAGAUAACACUUGGAAACAGGUGCUAAACCGAUACUGAUGGAUGGACCCGGGGUGCAUUAGCUAGUUGGUGAGGUAACGGCUCACCAAGGCCACGAUGCAUAGGCGGUCUGAGAGGGUGAUCGGCCCAACUGGAACUGAGACACGGCCCAGACUCCUACGGGAGGCAGCAGUAGGGAAUAUUCGGCAAUGGACGAAAGUCUGACCCAGCAAUGCCGCGUGAGUGAAGAAGGUCUUCGGAUCGUAAAACUCUGUUGUUAGAGAAGCGGUAUCUAACCAGAAAGCCACGGCUAACUACGUGCCAGCAGCCGCGGUAAUUC